AUUUUAUUUUUACUUCCUAAUGCGUAUCCUACCUAUGUUCAGUAUGUGACUAGAAGUCGAAUUUAUCAGGGAGCAAUAUAAUGAACGGAUAUACGUUUUUAGUAUGCCUGUGUUGCCUGUAUCCAAUUUUACGUGGAACACAAGCUCAAGAGAGAUACCUUGGGCAAUCAUGUAGUGCUGAUUCCAAUUGUUCUCUAGUGAGCAACAGCGAAUGUAGCAGUGGCACAUGUUCUUGUAUGAUUGGCUACUUUCAAACGGGAUCAAGCCCCACUGACUCGUGUUUAA